GACGAACGCUGGCGGCGUGCCUAAUACAUGCAAGUAGAACGCACAGUUUAUACCGUAGCUUGCUACACCAUAAACUGUGAGUUGCGAACGGGUGAGUAACGCGUAGGUAACCUGCCUGGUAGCGGGGGAUAACUAUUGGAAACGAUAGCUAAUACCGCAUAAUAUUGAUUAUUGCAUGAUAAUUGAUUGAAAGAUGCUAUUGCAUCACUACCAGAUGGACCUGCGUUGUAUUAGCUAGUAGGUGAGGUAACGGCUCACCUAGGCGACGAUACAUAGCCGACCUGAGAGGGUGAUCGGCCACACUGGGACUGAGACACGGCCCAGACUCCUACGGGAGGCAGCAGUAGGGAAUCUUCGGCAAUGGACGAAAGUCUGACCGAGCAACGCCGCGUGUGUGAAGAAGGUUUUCGGAUCGUAAAGCUCUGUUGUAAGAGAAGAACGGGUGUGAGAGUGGAAAGUUCACACUGUGACGGUAUCUUACCAGAAAGGGACGGCUAACUACGUG
rnacentral:rRNA from 1 species